UACGUAGGGACCAAGCGUUGUUCGGAUUUACUGGGCGUAAAGGGCGCGUAGGCGGCAAUUCAAGUCAGCUGUGAAAUCUCCGAGCUUAACUCGGAACGGUCAGCUGAUACUGCUUUGCUAGAGUGCAGAAGGGGCAAUCGGAAUUCUUGGUGUAGCGGUGAAAUGCGUAGAUAUCAAGAGGAACACCUGAGGUGAAGACGGGUUGCUGGGCUGACACUGACGCUGAGGCGCGAAAGCUAGGGUAGCAAACGGG
rnacentral:rRNA from 1 species